ensembl:lncRNA
CAGGCCUGGGUUUCAGUCGUGGUUUUGCCCUGUGCUCUUCGGAUAAUGGCUUCAUCUGGUCUGGGCCUCAGCUUCCAUCUUCGUUAAAACAGAACUAAGAGGGUUUUAAGAGGUUAAGUGUAGGAGUGCCGGGGCCCCCCUCCUGGCAGGCGGUAUGGGGCGUUAAUAUGCGCUUUGGCCUUCGUGUAUGCCUUUGCCCCCUCGAGAAGGACUUCACGCUCUCUCAGUGUAGUCCUACCCCCGGUGGCAGAGUGGGAGGUGGCAUCAUCUACACUUGCAGACCCGGAGACCCCCGGAGAAGCUAGAGCAUGGACGUGCUCUUUCAGUUCUGGUCGCAGGAGGGUGAUGUGAAGAGGAAUGAAGUUUCCAGCUUAGUUUAUGAAGUUCCAUAGCUGUGGAGGCAUUUAUUUAUUUACGUCAAACUUUCUUUUUUAUUAUCAUUUUUAUUGGGGGGGUAUUUUUUGAGGUAUAAUUGGCACAUAACAUGAUGUUGGUUUCAGGUGUACUAGGUAACAACCAUCACCACUUUGUACUUAGAAGUUGUUUUCCCUUCUAAGUUCUCUAAGAUGAGAAACUUUUAGGAUCUGCUUUUAAGAUCUCAGCAAUUUUCAAAUAUACAACGCAGUAUUAUGCUGAAGUAUCUGUAGUUACCGUACUGUGUAGCACAUGCCAGGACUUAUAACUGGAAGUCGGUACCUUUCUGACCACUUCAUGCCUGUUCACUCACCACCCCACUCCCCUUCUCUGGCAACCACUAAUCUGUUUUCUGUAACUAUUAGUUCAGGAUUUUUUCUUUCUUUAGAUUCCACGUAUUAGUAAGAUCACAUGGUAUUCAUCUUUCUCCAUCUGACUUACUUGGUGUAAUGCCAUUAAGGUCCAUCCAUGUUGUUGGAAAUGGCAGAAUUUUCUCACCUUUUCGUGGCUGAGUAAAUAUUCCAUUGUGUAUAUGUACCACAGUUGCUUUAAAACAUUUACCCAUUGGUGGACACUUUGGUUGUUCCCAGACCUUGGCAGUUAUAAAUAAUGCUGCAUGUGAGUAUAGGGGUGCAUAUAUCUUUUCAAGUUAGUGUUUUCAUUUCCUUAGGAUAAACACCCAGAACUGGAAUUGCUGGACCGUGUAGUAGUUCUGUUUUUAAUUUUUUGAGGAACCUCUAUACUGUUUCCAUAGUGGCUGCACCAAUUUACAUUCCGAUCAGCAGUGCGCAAGGGUUCACUUUUCUCCACUACCCUCGCCGACACUUGUUAUUACUUGACUUUUUUGGUGACAGCCAUUCUGACAGGUGGGAGUGAUAUCUCAUUGUGGUUUUAAUUUGCAUUUCUCUGAUGACUAGUGAUGUUGCGCACCUUUCCGUGCACCUGUUGGUUAUCUGUGGCCUUCUUGGGAAGAGGUCUCUUCAGAUCCUCUGCUCAUUUUUAAAAUCAGAUUAUUUGUGCUCUUAUUAUAGUGGUUGUAUGAGUUCUUUACAUAUUUUGAUUAUUAACCCCUUAUCAGAUACAUGAUUGGCAAACUUUUUUUCCUAUUCGGUAGGUUGCCUUUUCAUUCUGUUGGUGGUUUCCUUUGCUGUGCAGAAGCUUUUUAGUUUGACAUAGGCCCAUUUGUUUAUUUUUGCUUUUGUUGCCUUUGCUUUUGGUGUCAAUCCAAAAAGUCAUCUCCAAGACCCAUGUCAAGGAGCUUACCUUUAUGUUUUCUUCUAUGAAGGAGUUUUAUGCUUUCAGGUCUUUGAAAUCUGUAAUACAUUUGAGUUUAUCUUGAGAAAGGUAUAAGGUGGUGGUCUAGUUUCAUUCUUUUGCAUAUGGCUGUCCAGUUUUCCCAACACCAUUUUUUUUAAUUUUAUUUUUUAUACAGCAGGUUCUUAUUAGUUAUCCAUUUUAUACAUAUUAGUGUAUAUAUGUCAAUCCCAAUCUCCCAGUCCCAGCACCAUUUAUUGAAGAGACUGUCCUUUCCCCAUUGUAUGUUCUUGGCUCAUUUGUUGUAAACUAAUUGGCUCUGUACACAUGAAUUUAUUUCUGGGCUGUCUGUUCUGUUUUAUUAGCUUACAUGUGUAUUUUUAUGUAACACUGUACUGUUUUGAUUACUCUAGCUUUGUAGUAUACUUUGAAGUCAUGCCUCCGUGAUCAUGCCUCUAUAUAGUUUGAAAUGUUGCCUCCAGCUUUGUUCUUGUUUCUCAGGAUUGCUUUGGCUAUUCAUGGUUUUUUUUUUUGGGGGGGUUCCGUAUAAAUUUAAGAUUGUUGUAUUUUUGUGAAAAAUACCAGUGGGAUUUUGAAUAGGGGUUGCUUUAAAUUAGUAGAUGGCUUUGGGGAGUGUAAACAUUUUAGCAAUAUUAAUUCUUCCAACCCACGAGCAUGGACUGUCUUUAUUUGUGUUUUCAGUUUCUUUCUUCAGUGUCUUAUAGUUGUCAGUGUACAGGUCUUUCACCUCCUUGGUUAAAUUUAUUCCUAAGGAUUUUAUUCUUUUUGACACAAUUAUAAAUCUGGUUGUUUUCUUAAUUUUUAAUAGUUUGUGAGUAUUUAGAAGUCAGCCGAUUUUUGUAUACUGAUUUUAUAUUCUGCAACUUCACUGACUUUGUUUAUUCUAACAGUUUUCUUGGUGGGGUCUUACAGAGUUUUCUAUAUAUAAUAUCAUGUGCAAAUAGAGGUUGUUUUAGUUCUUUCUUUAUGAUUUGUGUGGUUUUUAUUUUUCUUGUCUAAUUGUUCUGGCCAGGACUUCCAAUACCAUGUUGAAUAAAAAUGGUGAGAGUGGGCAAUCCUUGCUUUGUUCCUGGUCUUAGAGGAAAGCUUUUAGCUCUUCACCAUUGAGUGUGAUGUUAGCUCUGGGCUUGGCAUAUAUUGGCUUUUAUUAUGUUGUGGUAUUUUCUGUCUGUACACAAUUUAUUGAGGUUUUUAUUGUGAAUGGAUGUUGAAUUUUGUGAAACAUUUCUUCUGCAUUUAUUGAGAUGAUUGUAUGAUUUUUAUUUUUUACUUUGUUAAUGUGUGUCAACGUGGAUUGGUUGGGGAGGUUGAGCCAGCCUUGCAUCCCUGGAAUAAAUCCCAAACUGAUCAUUGUGCAUGGUCUUUUAUUUACUUAUUUAUUUAUUUAUUUUACUUACAUAUUUUUUGGUUGCAUCGGGUCUUGGUUGUGGCACACGGGCUCUUUCGUUGCGACGCGCGGGCUUCUCUCUAGUUGUGGCAUGCAGGCUCCAGAGUGCGUGGAUUCUGUAGUUGUGGCGCGUGGGCUUCAGAGCAUGUGGGCUCUGUAGUUGUGGCGCCGGGCUCAGUAGUUGUGGUAAGCGGGCUUAGUUGCCCCGUGGCAUGUGGGAUCUUAGUUCCCCAACCAGGGAUCGAACCCGUGUGCCCUGCAUUGGAAGGUGGAUUCUUAACCACUGGACCAGCAGGGAAGUCUCCACGAUCUUUUUUUUUUUUUUUUUUUCCACGAUCUUUUAAAUUAAUUGUUGAAUUCAGUUUGCUGUUGUUUUGUUGAAGAUUUUUACAUCUACGUUCAUUAGGUAUAUUGGCCUGUAAUUUUCUUUUCUUGUUGUGUCCUUGUCUGGUUUUAGUAUCAGAGUAAUACGGGCCUUGUUGGGCUUCCCUGGUGGCACAGCGGUUAAGAAUCUGCCUGCCAAAGCAGGGGACACAGGUUUGAGCCCUGGUCCGGGAAGAUCCCACAAGCUGCAGAGCAACUCAGCCCUUGUGCCACAACUACUGAGCCUGUGCUCUAGAGCCUGCAAGCCACAACUACUAAGGCCACGUGUCACAAUUUCCGAAGCCCGUGUGCCUAGAGCCCGCACACCGCAACGGAGAGCCGCCCCCGGCUCGCUGCAACUAGAGAAAGCCGCGCACAGCAACAAAGACCCAACAGAGC